GGAGAGCAGGAAUGGCAGGAGAGCGGUGAGAGACCUCCGUCCCAGUGAGGAUGACAUGUUCUAACUCAGGAAAUGAAUAGAUGCUCUUGCGAUUGAAGAAAAAUCUACGCUGGAGGCAGACAGGCUGGCAGAUAAGGAGACUGAAGCAUCUAGAGUUGGAGUAAUUUCCACAAGAUCACAGAGGCAAGAUUUCACUCUGUCACCCAGACUGGAGUGCAGUGGCACAAACAUAGCUCACUGAAGCCUCAAACUCCUGGGCUCAAGAGAUCCUUCUGCUUCAGCCUCCUGAGUAGCUGGGACUUCAGAAUCCCAGUCCUCUCUCUCUCACUGACCCCGAAGAUAAGCAUUGGAAAGGGGAGCUUUGGGGAAAUGAAUCUGCCCUGUCAUCUGCGUAUAGAGCUAAUCUUAAAUCCCAACUGCCAAAUGGAUCCUGAGGUGUCAGAAACUCUCCCGAGAUAAGGGGGCUUCUAGCAACCAUCUGCAUUCUGGACCCAGUUCUUGCGUUGCUUCACAUUGUUGAAACAUAACUCGGGCUGGGAUUCUGAGAAAUAUGGAUUUCAGGCUUCCAGCCUCUGGAACACAGAGGCAGCAUAAGGUGGGAAGCAGGGAGCAUGGAAAGACUAGUGCUGAGCCAACAGCACACCCAGCACGCAAGCCUGGUGCAGCAGUGGCGUCAUGGAGAACAUCAGAUGAGAAAACCAGGGGAAGCAGAGGUAAGAACCUGUUCAAGAAGGCACAUCUCAGAUGUGGAAGAACCAUGAUUCAACUCGAGUCUGUCUGCUUCCCAAGACUGUGGUAUUUAAACAGCUUAUAAUGAAAAUUCCUUCUAUAGCUCCCCAUAAAAGGGCACACAGUUCUUUCUUAACGUAUUAUUUCAGGCAUUCAUUCACCAUUGAUGUAUUUGUGAAGGUGUUCUCUCUAAAUAAACUAUUGGGACCUUA
ensembl:lncRNA LINC00970 long intergenic non-protein coding RNA 970